AGUUCGGAUUGUAGGCUGCAACUCGCCUACAUGAAGUUGGAAUCGCUAGUAAUCGCGAAUCAGAAUGUCGCGGUGAAUACGUUCCCGGGUCUUGUACACACCGCCCGUCACACCACGAGAGUUUACAACACCCGAAGUCAGUGGCCUAACCGCAAGGAGGGAGCUGCCUAAGGUGGGGUAGAUGAUUGGGGUGAAGUCGUAACAAGGUAAC
rnacentral:rRNA from 1 species